CCUGCAUUGCUUGCUGUUUGGGGUUUUAGGCUAGGUUUCUGUACAGUUUUUUGAGAUAUCAGCUGAUGUACGAAGGGCUAUAUAAAUACAUUUGAUUUGAUUUGAUUUGACUAUACAACAUGGCAGGUAGCUACUAUUCAUUCACUAUACAACAUGGCAGGUAACUACUAAUAAUUCACUAUACAACAUGGCAGGUAGCUACUAUUCAUUCACCUAUACAACAUGGCAGGUAGCUACUAUUCAUUCACUAUACAACAUGGCAGGUAGCUACUAUUCAUUCACUAUACAACAUGGCAGAUAGCUACUAUUCAUUCACAAUUCAACAUGGCAGGUAACUAGUAUUAAUUCCCUAUACAACAUGGCAGGUAGCUACUAUUCAUUCACUAAGUACCAUAGGAGAUUACACUAUUCAUUCACUAUACAACAUGGCAGGUAGUUACUAUUUAUUCACUAAGUACCAUAGGAGAUUAUACUAUUCAUUCACUAUACAACAUGUCAGGUAGCUAGUAUUCAUUCACAAUACAACAUGGCAGAUAACUACUAUUCAUUCACUAAGUACCAUAGGAGAUUAUGCUAUUCAUUCACUAUACAACAUGGCAGGUAGCUACUAUUCAUUCACUAUUCAACAUGGCAGGUAACUACUAUGCAUUCACUAUACAACAUGGCAGGUAGCUACUAUUUAUUCACUAAGUACCAUAGGAGAUUCUGCUAUUCAUUCACUAUACAACAUGGCAGGUAGCUACUAUUCAUUCACUAUACAACAUGGCAGGUAACUACUAUGCAUUCACUAUGCAACAUGGCAGGUAGCUACUAUUCAUUCACUAUACAACAUGGCAGGUAACUGCUAUUCAUUCACUAUACAACAUGGCAGGUAACUACUAUUCAUUCACUAUACAACAUGGCAGGUAACUACUAUUCAUUCACUAUACAACAUGGCAGGUAACUACUAUUCAUUCACUAUACAAAAUGGCAGGUAACUACUAUUCAUUCACUAUACAACAUGGCAGGUAACUAUUAUUCAUUCACUAUACAACAUGGCAGGUAACUACUUUUCAUUCACUAUACAACAUGGCAGGUAGCUACUAUUCAUUCACUAAGUACCAUAGGAUAUUAUACUAUUCAUUUACUAUACAACAUGGCAGGUAGCUACUAUUCAUUCACUAAGUACCAUAGGAGAUUAUACUAUUCAUUCACUAUACAACAUGGCAGGUAGCUACUAUUCAUUCGCUAUACAACAUGGCAGGUAACUACUAUUCAUUCACUAUACAAUAUGGCAGGUAGCUACUAUUCAUUCACUAUACAACAUGGCAGGUAGCUACUAUUCAUUCACUAUA